UUGUGUUUCAUGUCACACAAACGAUACUGCAGUUCUGCUAGCAAGAGUUUUGCAGCACUGGGAUCUUUCUUUAUAUCAAGUUUCGCAGCUAGCAAAAGUGUAUUUGAACUCCAUCUAUGACCGGCCUAUGCUAUAGGGAUUGCACCUCAACAUGGCAGCCUUCUGCCAAUUGUGUGUGUAUGUCGGAUUCUGAUGGGUUCGCUGGGACUUCUGGUUUCUUGAGAAAGAUUCAUGUGUAGUGAGUACUAUGAAAUGAUGAACACAUCCAACAUUCAAAGUAAGAAAUAAUCGUUGUCUUCUGCUUUUUGAUUCCAGUUUACUUAUAUUUCAGGUGAUUUCCUUGCAUUUUAGGUUUCCUUGUAAUUCAGUUUUUCUUUUUGUUGUUGCGUGUUUUUUUUCCCGGUGGAGUCUAUUUUGUGGCCAUCAUCUGCGGAUUCUUCAUCCCUUUCCAACUCAACACCUAUGGUCUGAUAGUCUGUUGUGGCUGGAGUUGCUGACUUCAAUGUGGCCGUUAUGUAGAUGUUACAGAAUGGAAGAGUUGGUUCUUAGAAAGGGAUGAUAUUCUUGUAUAGAUAUGAAAGGUUUGAAGGUAAACAAUGAACUGAAAUUUUGCAAGAUAUACUGAAAUCAAGCCAGUGAGUAAAGGCUUACAAAUUAUCUGCUGCUCCAAAGCUCCUCUUAUGCGUUUGUGUGCAAGGUAUGCAAAAGGAUAAGGACACAUUGAAAUUUUGGAAUGUUCUACCAACAUAAAUUUAGCAUUAUUCAUUAUAUGUUAAUUGCACCAACUGAUCGUCUUCUCAUUUAAUGUGUAGGUA